UAGGGAAUCUUCGGCAAUGGGGGGAACCCUGACCGAGCAACGCCGCGUGAGUGAAGAAGGUUUUCGGAUCGUAAAGCUCUGUUGUUAAGGAAGAACGAGUGUGAGAAUGGAAAGUUCAUGCUGUGACGGUACUUAACCAGAAAGGGACGGCUAACUACGUGCCAGCAGCCGCGGUAAUACGUAGGUCCCGAGCGUUGUCCGGAUUUAUUGGGCGUAAAGCGAGCGCAGGCGGUUAGAAAAGUCUGAAGUGAAAGGCAGUGGCUCAACCAUUGUAGGCUUUGGAAACUGUUUAACUUGAGUGCAGAAGGGGAGAGUGGAAUUCCAUGUGUAGCGGUGAAAUGCGUAGAUAAAUGGAGGAAAACCGGUGGCGAAAGCGGCUCUCUGGUCUGUAACUGACGCUGAGGCUCGAAAGCGUGGGGAGCGAACAGG
rnacentral:rRNA from 1 species